GUGAGGAAUUUUCCGCAAUGGGCGAAAGCCUGACGGAGCAAUGCCGCGUGAAGGAUGAAGGCCUAUGGGUUGUAAACUUCUUUUCUCAGAAAAGAAUUAUGACGGUAUCUGAGGAAUAAGCAUCGGCUAACUCUGUGCCAGCAGCCGCGGUAAGACAGAGGAUGCAAGCGUUAUCCGGAAUGAUUGGGCGUAAAGCGUCUGUAGGUUGUUUAAAAAGUAUUCUGUCAAAGAUUAGGGCUUAACCCUAGAUAGGCAGAAUAAACUUUUAAGCUAGAGUUUGGUAGAGGCAGAGGGAAUUCCCGGUGGAGCGAUGAAAUGCGUAGAUAUCGGGAGGAACACCAAAGGCGAAGGCACUCUGCUGGGCCAAUACUAACACUGAGAGACGAAAGCGAGGGGAGCAAAUGGGAUUAGAAACCCCGGUAGUCC
rnacentral:rRNA from 1 species